rnacentral:tRNA from 1 species
GUGCCUGUAGCGCAGUUGGUUAGCGUGCCAGAUUGUGGCUCUGGAGGCCGAGGGUUCGAGUCCCUCUAGGCACC